CAAUAGCGUAUAUUAAAGUUGUUGCGGUUAAAAAGCUCGUAGUUGGAUUUCUGCCGAGGACGACCGGUCUGCCCACUGGGUGUGUAUCUGGCUCGGCCUGGGCAUCUUCUUGGAGAACGUAUCUGCACUUGACUGUGUGGUGCGGUAUCCAGGACUUUUACUUUGAGGAAAUUAGAGUGUUUCAAGCAGGCACACGCCUUGAAUACAUUAGCAUGGAAUAAUAAGAUAGGACCUCGGUUCUAUUUUGUUGGUUUCUAGAACUGUGGUAAUGAUUAAUAGGGAUAGUUGGGGGCAUUCGUAUUUAACUGUCAGAGGUGAAACUCUUGGAUUUGUUAAAGACGGACUACUGCGAAAGCAUUUGCCAAGGAUGUUUUCAUUGA
rnacentral:rRNA from 1 species